rnacentral:tRNA from 1 species
GCCCCCGUAGCUCAACGGACAGAGCAACUGCCUUCUAAGCAGCAGGUUGUGGGUUCGAGUCCCGCCGGGGGCGCCU